UACGGAGGGGGCUAGCGUUGUUCGGAAUUACUGGGCGUAAAGCGCACGUAGGCGGCUUUGUAAGUUAGAGGUGAAAGCCCGGAGCUCAACUCCGGAACUGCCUUUAAGACUGCAUCGCUCGAAUCAUGGAGAGGUCAGUGGAAUUCCGAGUGUAGAGGUGAAAUUCGUAGAUAUUCGGAAGAACACCAGUGGCGAAGGCGACUGACUGGACAUGUAUUGACGCUGAGGUGCGAAAGCGUGGGGAGCAAACAGG
rnacentral:rRNA from 2 species